AGCGAACGCUGGCGGCAGGCCUAACACAUGCAAGUCGAACGGAUCCUUCGGGGUUAGUGGCGGACGGGUGAGUAACACGUGGGAACGUGCCCUUUGGUUCGGAACAACUCAGGGAAACUUGAGCUAAUACCGGAUGUGCCCUUCGGGGGAAAGAUUUAUCGCCAUUGGAGCGGCCCGCGUCUGAUUAGCUAGUUGGUGAGGUAAAGGCUCACCAAGGCGACGAUCAGUAGCUGGUCUGAGAGGAUGAUCAGCCACAUUGGGACUGAGACACGGCCCAAACUCCUACGGGAGGCAGCAGUGGGGAAUCUUGCGCAAUGGGCGAAAGCCUGACGCAGCCAUGCCGCGUGAAUGAUGAAGGUCUUAGGAUUGUAAAAUUCUUUCACCGGGGACGAUAAUGACGGUACCCGGAGAAGAAGCCCCGGCUAACUUCGUGCCAGCAGCCGCAGUAAGAC
rnacentral:rRNA from 1 species